rnacentral:other from 1 species
UUUUCCCUGCCGUGCUCGUGUUUGGCCUUAUAUUUCUUGGACCCAUGCUAAUGGCAUGAGGUUGUGGAAAUUGCCCGCGGGCGUGAUCGUCUCCAGUCAGACGAACCCGAAGCGAGGCUGACCGCGACCACCUUGAACCUCCGGUUCAGGAUGCCGGCCUAGCGACACAGGCGGGGACCCU